rnacentral:rRNA from 1 species
UACGAAGGGGGCUAGCGUUGCUCGGAAUCACUGGGCGUAAAGGGUGCGUAGGCGGGUCUUUAAGUCAGGGGUGAAAUCCUGGAGCUCAACUCCAGAACUGCCUUUGAUACUGAAGAUCUUGAGUUCGGGAGAGGUGAGUGGAACUGCGAGUGUAGAGGUGAAAUUCGUAGAUAUUCGCAAGAACACCAGUGGCGAAGGCGGACUCACUGGCCCGGUAUUGACGCUGAGGUGCGAAAGCGUGGGGAGCAAACAGG